rnacentral:rRNA from 1 species
ACGCUCGACACCUACGGAAGGCAGCAGUGGGGAAUAUUGCACAAUGGGGGAAACCCUGAUGCAGCGACGCCGCGUGAGCGAAGAAGUAUUUCGGUAUGUAAAGCCCUAUCAGCAGGGAAGAAACUGACGGUACCUGACUAAGAAGCACCGGCUAAAUACGUACCACGCAGCCGCGGUAAUCUGAGCGGGCUGGCAAGGC